rnacentral:lncRNA from 1 species
AAAAAAACAAAACAAAAAAACAACGUAUAUUCGUGAAAGAACUCACUGAUAAAAUGAGAAUCGCUAUUCUUUUAAUUGUGAUUGUAUCUCUCAGCCUGGCGACAGGUGAGAUUGAUAAAAGUGGGGAAGUUGUGGAACAAAGUCGUUUAAGGCGAGCGCUUUCAGGGGAUGCUGCCAAGAUUGAGGUGUUUUCCAGUCAAGGAGAGGGACUAGUUAAAUGACGAGGAAGAUGACCUCAGUAAUUUAUACGUUGUGUUGCCUACUUCCGGGCAUAUAAACGUAUUAAUUACUUCCAGAGUGUUUCAUAACUUUAGCUGAUGGAUAAACCCUUAUUAACUGCAUUAUCAAAACAAUCACGAAUGAACAACACUUAUUCUUUCAUAAACUGCGACACAAAUAUGAAGAUGGAACGUAGAACAUGAAUGGCCUACCGCUGUUAAAUCUCUAAGCAAACUACUUGAUCAAUUUAUUAGGGGCAUGACUCCGGGUGAAAAUCACAGAAAAUGUCUUAA